ensembl:snoRNA SNORA70 Small nucleolar RNA SNORA70
CUGCAGCUAAUUAAGAAAACCAUGCUCCUUUCCUCAUGGAGGCCUGGUGUGCCAUGACUGUAAAUAGCAGCCUCCUUGGUUGUAUGCAGCCUGUUGUUUGUGUAGGUUGCUCUAAGGGACCUUAAAGACAUUC